rnacentral:rRNA from 1 species
UAAGAGGAAGUAAAAGUCGUAACAAGGUCUCCGUUGGUGAACCAGCGGAGGGAUCAUUACCGAGUUUACAACUCCCAAACCCAUGUGAACAUACCUUUACGUUGCUUCGGCGGAGCCGCCCCGGCGCCCGGAACCUCUUCGGUUUCGCGGCCCGGAACCAGGCGCCCGCCGGAGGCCACAAACUCUUUUGUUUUUACAGUUUCUUCUGAGUGUGCCGCAAGGCAAAAUACAAAUGAAUCAAAACUUUCAACAACGGAUCUCUUGGUUCUGGCAUCGAUGAAGAACGCAGCGAAAUGCGAUAAGUAAUGUGAAUUGCAGAAUUCAGUGAAUCAUCGAAUCUUUGAACGCACAUUGCGCCCGCCAGAAUUCUGGCGGGCAUGCCUGUUCGAGCGUCAUUUCAACCCUCGAGCUCCCCUCUUUUUGGGAGAGCCCGGCGUUGGGGACCCGGCGCUAACACCGCCGGCCCCGAAAUGGAGUGGCGGCCCGUCCGCGGCGACCUCUGCGUAGUAAUAUCCACUCGCACCGGGACCCGGGCGCGGCCACGCCGUUAAACACCCCACCUUCCGAAUGUUGACCUCGAAUCAGGUAGGAAUACCCGCUGAACUUAAGCAUAUCAAUUAA